ACAUGAUACUAUACAUGUUUCAAUGCAUUCUCGUCCCGAUCUCAGAAGCUAAGCAGGGUCGGGCCUGCUUAGUAUCUUGUC
ensembl:rRNA 5S_rRNA 5S ribosomal RNA